ensembl:lncRNA
UAAUACAGUUGAAUCUGUGUGAAAUACCUGAUGCAAAAUACUCAGUGACACAGGUAAGUUGCCUGCUCCUCUGGGAGGAUAUAAACUCACUUCCCUCAAGCUGCAGUGCUUAAAUAAUUUAACACAUAAAAGACUACGUGAGGGAUGUGUUGACUGAAAAUCAAUUGGAUGUCCACAGUCUCAUAUGUCUCUUUCGCAGCGUUGGCACUAGCACUUCUUUAAAAGGUGCAAUAGGUUUUCCCUGCAGGGGCUCUACUCAGAAAGUACUUCAGGAAUCCAGCACACAGCAACAGUGUGCUUCCUUACAACAUUUAAGAGACAGGUCACUGAAGCUAUGACUUUCAGUUAUACCAGUCUUUAAAAUUUUAACCUUGACUGUGAAAAACAGAGGAAACAAAGGGACUACUCUGAGCCUUAUCAUGAACCAGUAGUGAACAAAAAAUUCACAAAGUGAGCCCAAAACUUUUGUUUUGUAUAAUGUUCAGUAAUCUCGUUGGAUUGUAAUUACGGAAGAGGAGUUCAUUUGAGAACAAUGCUAUUUUGGAAUAAUCCCUUCAGACACUACCACAGACUCAUUAUAAUCCUAAAAGUCAUAGAGGCUUUGCAGUUGGGACACAAAACUCCAAGCAAAACAGACUGAAGUAGCCGCGCAUUCUUAACUCAGACACACUGGUGCUGCUCAGUUUCUUGAUGAAGGUGGUUUGUAUUCCCAGUAGGUAGAAAUAUUCUCAAUAUUACGCAUGUAUUUUUCCUUCUUGUGUCAACCUUGCCCAAACCCACAGGAAGAUCUUGAUUAUUGCUUUUUUUUUUUUUUUUUUUUUUUUUUUUUUUGUUAUAUCAAAGUCUCAUAAAAAUCACAAGGAGCUCUUUCAAAUACACAAUGUUUUGUGUCAUUUAUGACCCCUAAUUUCUUUGCUUCUAAGGCGAAAUAUUUUCUUGGAAACUGAAGAAGUAGAGAAGGAAAGAAGUGUCAGGCUUGCAGCGUAUGAACAGUAUGUGAAAGUCAUAUUUUAAAUUAAAAUCUAGCAAAGACCUGACACAGAAACUGAGAAAUGUAUCUGACCCUUUUGUUUAUUAAUCUAAAGUUCACUGAAGAAGCAUCCUAAAUGGUCUUUGUUCAAGGGAGGCUGCAAAGAAGCCAUUCUUAAGGAUAGGAAAUUUGGGGAAAAAAGAUUGAAGUAUGCCAAUUUAUACAAGAACUGGAUUGAUAUUAAGUGACAGUGGCAUGGAGUGAUUAAUCCACCAUACAAUACUACAGGUUUUUUUUUUUUUUGUUUUUUGGCAUGACUGAUCCCAAAUACACUCACAAUGAGGAAACAUCACAACUGGAUAGAAAGAGAAAAAAAAAAAAAAAAAAACCGGUCACAGUUAGUAACUAUCAGUCAUGGAUUGGCCUCCCCAGAGCUCAGACUUCAACUGCACUUUGAAUGUCCUUCAAGAAGUAUGAAGAAGU